CCUACGGGAGGCAGCAGUGAGGAAAUUGGACAAUGGAGGCAACUCUGAUCCAGCCAUGCCGCGUGCAGGAUGACUGCCCUAUGGGUUGUAAACUGCUUUUAUAUAGGAAGAAACCUUUCCAUGCGUGGGAAUUUGACGGUACUAUAUGAAUAAGCACCGGCUAACUCCGUGCCAGCAGCCGCGGUAAUA
rnacentral:rRNA from 1 species